UGGGUUGUGGCUCAGUGGUAGAAUGCUCACCUAACAUGUGUGAGACUCUGGGUUCAAAUCUCAGCACCACAU
rfam:Ictidomys tridecemlineatus contig032506, whole genome shotgun sequence.